rnacentral:rRNA from 1 species
CCCUUAGACGUUCUGGGCCGCACGCGCGCUACACUGACCAGUGCAACAAGCAUCCGUCCUUGGCCGACAGGCUCGGGCAAUCUUUGAACGCUGGUCGUGAUGGGGAUAGACUUUUGCAAUUUUUGGUCUUCAACGAGGAAUUCCUAGUAAACGCAAGUCAUCAACUUGCAUUGAUUACGUCCCUGCCCUUUGUACACACCGCCCGUCGCACCUACCGAUUGAAUGGUCCGGUGAAGCCUCCGGAUUGGCGCGCACCUCGGUGCCGCCGAGAAGUUGGCUAAACCUUACCAUUUAGAGGAAGGUGAUGUCGUAACA